CCGGUAAAAUUUGAACUCCACCUGACUCCAUAUAUCCUAUUUGGUCACUGAAACAUACGAACGUUUUCACUUGUUUCGAAGCUAACCGCACCAUCGAACGCGAUCGAUAAUUCAACGAUUGGAACGAUUGGAUGGAAUUCAACGAUUUUACUAAAGACAUGGACGAUAAAAAACGCACCUGCUGCAUCUGUCAAGCCACAGGAAGAAAUUGGGAUAGAAAUUGAAGAACGAGAAGAAUAUCAACCCGUGCUCACCUUGGAUGCCAGGACAAUGUGGAACUUUAGGACAGCGUGGGACUGAAGGGCUUCAUUGAUCCUGAUACCAGUAGAGACUCCGGCGCCUAUAAUGUGCUUCCUGGUUCAUCCAGAGAUUAGUGUAUUACCUUACAAUAAUAUUAUCUUCUAUUGCAUUCCUUUUUUUAGUUAUGAUAGGUAUUCAGUAUUAUGUGUGUCAUUUAAAAGGUGCUUCUAUUCAUUUUUCGUUACAAUUACAUAUUGUACUGUCCAAAGGGGUCGACUCCAAGCAGCCAGCAGGAAAUGCUUUAAAGGUAUUAAGUAUUUUUUUUAUUAUAUAUUUUAUUGCAUUUUUUUAUUAUAUAUUUUUAUUGUACAUUUUACACUAUUUUUAUUGUAUAUUUCAUUGUAUUUUUAUUAUAUAUAUUUUUUAAAUAUGACGUAUGUAUAUUUUUAUUAUAUAUUUUAUUAUAUUUUUAUUAUAUAUAUUUUUUAUUGUAUAUUGUACUGUAUAUUUUUAUUACAUUUAUGUGUAAUAAAUUUAAUUUCAUAAAGUAGAACCUUUUUUUUCCUUCCUUUACUUCUUAUUCAGUUUCAUUUUAAAGCAGGUACAAAUACACAUAUAUAGGACCAUGCUGUUGUUUGUGUGGCUCACUGAUUAUGUUGUAUGUGGUAGUAACGACACUGGCGCUGCCAAGAUGCGGGAGCUCGAAUUAAAUCGGGCUUCAACGCGAAAUACGGUAGCUUGGCGGCCCUGGUCUAAGCUAACAUACGCUGCUGAAUAUUGUUAAUUAUGACAGAAAACAGCAAAAGUAGAAUCGCUAUGGGAGCUUGCGCUCUAGUUUGAACAUUUAUCUAGCGGAAACGACUAUUGAGAAGUCUCGAAUCUGCACUGUCAAGACAUAAAUAGGACAAUGCGCAAGCCCUUGCAUUCUGUCCAGGAUUAUCAUGUUACACGUAAAAUAUAGUUCCGGCAUUUGUCGCU